AUGGCCCAUGCAGCCGUGCCACGUGAACACGGAGCAGUAGGACUUUUGGGAAACGUGCGCGUUCAGUGCUGUGGCGGAGAAGUCAUGGUCAACCCUUUCUGGGUGCCCGUCGUUGUCGAUCCAUGGUUGCUUGCAUGGAAUUUUGCUGGCCUCGGUGACCCGUGUUUGAUUAGUCCGUUGUCCAGGCACCGCAUCUUUUUCUUUUCAGCAGAUAGGCAUCUAGAGGUCAUCCGGCUCGGAAAUGUGCACCAUGGGCUGAGCGUGAGGGAGGGUCUCUCGUCUAUUGGGCCUUUUUUUGGACGUGUUCAUGUCGAGAGACUCCUCCGACACGUAGCUCGAUCGACAACUCCCGAACCAAAGAACUCACAAAAAAAACUUCCAUCUCUCCCCACCUCCCGACCCACGCCCGCCGGCCUCCCCCCAGAUCCCGCGCGGCGAGCUCGACCCACCACGUUGGCCUCCCCCCGGACCCGCGCGCCCUGCCACCAACCACCUCCCACCACCGACGGCCACCGGCCCCAACGCCUCACCUGCCGCCGCCACCCCCUCUCCCGGCCCAACGCGCCUCCUUGCACCGCCGAACCCCCGCACCAUCGCGCGCCGCCAGAUCCCCGGAGUCCCGCGCGCCGCCAGAUCCCUGGAAUCCCGCGCGCCGCUGAGACCCGACAUCCCAGCGCGCCGCGCCGCGAUUUGGUUCGGUCCUGGCGAGUUUUCUUGGUUGCCGUCGCGGAGGUGGUAAGCGGCUUCCUCUCCAAUGCGGCGUCAGCGGUGUUGAAGCAGCUGUGGUCGCUCAAAUCGACGGUCAAGACAGCGAGUGGAGCCAAGUCCAUGGUCAAGUACGACGGCGGCUACACCGUGGAGACGGUCUUCGACGACAGCAAGCUGGGGAUCGAGCCGUACGCCGUGGAGGUCACCCAGGGUGACGAGCUGCUGGAGGAGCUGGAGUACGCGGAGCAGAAUAGCCUCUUCUUCCUAGAGACGUUGGCAAAGAUGGAGAAGACGUCAGAGGAUCCCGGUCGCCGAGCCGAGACCUAUGUGCUGCUGGUGCUCGCUACCCGCAUGAACAUAGGAAUGAAGGUCACCAUCAGGCAAGGGAGAAGAUCACAUGAUGUGCAGAAAGAAGGUAAAUUUGCAGGGGACAACCGGUCCUCGCCCGUGCCAUUGGUGUGGUUAUCUCCCAUGAAUGAGCAGUAG
rnacentral:rRNA from 1 species